GAUACUUUAUGCAGCCACAAGGUCUCUUCCAGUGAAAUGGUUAUAACAGAAAACAGAAGGCAAAGACAGGAAUGACACAGAAGAAUAUGGACUGAAGCAGUAUAAAAUGAUGUUGUCCAUAAAAGAAGCUGUCCGCUUCAGAAGUUGUCGAAAAUAUAAACAUCGCAUUUGGGAUAAGAAUGUGCAUUGCAACAACUGGAAGGUGGUUCAGUGCCUGAAUAAUGCGCUCCAUGGACGCCCUCUAUCAUUGGUUAAUGAGCAAACAUUGAAAUGUGCUGGGGAGAUUAAGCUUAGAUCUACUGUUCUGGCUCUUGUCAAUAAAUUAAAAGUCUCGAAAGAAUCGGUAGGACGUCAUAUUGCACCGGUUAUUAAAGAGAAAAAGAUGGCUAAAUCUGUUCCACAUGAAUUAAGCGUUGCAAACAAGAUGCGUCGUCUGACAGUGUGUUCUUUUCUUUCUGCGAGAAACGAAAAAGAAAUAUUUUUGAAACAUUAAUCAUCUCUAACAAAAAAUAAUGGGUCCUUUAUGACAACAGUAAAACACCUCUCCAUUGGCUAGAUGCAGAAGAGUCGCCUGAACAUGUUUCAAAACCCACUUUACGCCACACAAGAGUUUAUGGUUGAUACUGUUUGGUAUUGCUAUCAAGAAAUCAUUAAUUUUUUUGUUUCUGCUGUAUAGAGAAACAGUAGCAUCCCAAUCCUACUGCCAGCUAAUUGAGCAAAUGCAUUUCAAAUUAACCAAGCAAAAUCCGGCACUGAUAAACAGACUCGGGCUUAUACACUUGCAUGAUAACGCAAGAUCCCUUAUUGCAGAUCAGACCACAGCAAAGUUGCAGCAGGUUAAUUAUGAAAUAUUGGUUCAUCCUCCAUAUUCUCCAGACUUGUAUCAUCAGAUUACCAUUCAUUCCAUCAUUUUGAGUUUUCAUCUGUGACAAAAUGUAUGCAAAGUAUUAAUUUGAACAAUUUAUAGCUUCAAAAAACAAUAAGAUUUUUUAAAGAAAGAAUAUAUAGUCUCUGAAGCCGAUGGAUAAAAGUUGUUGAAUCUAAUGAAACCUAUUUUGAUUAAUAAAUAAUGACUAUAAA